AAAUUGAAGAGUUUGAUCAUGGCUCAGAUUGAACGCUGGCGGCAGGCCUAACACAUGCAAGUCGAACGGUAACAGGAAGCAGCUUGCUGCUUUGCUGACGAGUGGCGGACGGGUGAGUAAUGUCUGGGAAACUGCCYGAUGGAGGGGGAUAACUACUGGAAACGGUGGCUAAUACCGCAUAACGUCGCAAGACCAAAGAGGGGGACCUUCGGGCCUCUUGCCAUCAGAUGUGCAUGUGC
rnacentral:rRNA from 1 species